CCUGAGCAGAGCAUGGACAUGCUUGACACGAAUUAUCAAACCUUCAGCAUUGGGAGGGAAGAGAAUUCCCUUUGCACCUACAAGGGUAUGUGCAUUUGGCAUGCCAAGAAGGGAAAGGGAAAGGAAAGUAUAAGUAACCGUCCUACAAGUAGCAAACGUUGCCCUGCAAACGCCAAUGAAGCAACAGUGCAUGGCCACAGACCCCUACUGAGAUACCUGAGGCCACUGCAGCCAAGGCUCUCGUCUUCCCUCCUCCUUCCCCUCCACCCCGGUAGCAUCCGCUGGGCAGCAUCUGCUGGGCACAGUCCGAGGGGUCUACAGUUGAAUGUGAAUUAUGAGCCUCUGCAGGGAGGUUUAGGAAGGUUCCAUCUGUGUCUCAUUCUCUCCCAGG